rnacentral:rRNA from 1 species
CCUACGGGAGGCAGCAGUGGGGAAUAUUGGACAAUGGGCGAAAGCCUGAUCCAGCAAUGCCGCGUGAGUGAUGAAGGCCUUAGGGUUGUAAAGCUCUUUUACCCGGGAUGAUAAUGACAGUACCGGGAGAAUAAGCUCCGGCUAACUCCGUGCCAGCAGCCGCGGUAAUACGGAGGGAGCUAGCGUUAUUCGGAAUUACUGGGCGUAAAGCGCACGUAGGCGGCUUUGUAAGUUAGAGGUGAAAGCCUGGAGCUCAACUCCAGAAUUGCCUUUAAGACUGCAUCGCUUGAAUCCAGGAGAGGUGAGUGGAAUUCCGAGUGUAGAGGUAAAAUUCGUAGAUAUUCGGAAGAACACCAGUGGCGAAGGCGGCUCACUGGACUGGUAUUGACGCUGAGGUGCGAAAGCGUGGGGAGCAAACAGGAUUAGAUCCCCUUGUAGU